CUCACUGAACCAACCUCAUAUCUUAACCUUUUUGGAGUUCUGUGUGAUCAUGAUUUUGUGGUUUCUUUCUCACAGGUUAGCACAUUGGGGUACUUUGCAUCACAUUACCGUGUUAUGAGGAGGAAGCUUGACGAGAUUUAUGACUUGGUAACUGCUUUGAUUUUUAGGGGGUUUCAGAGGCUUACAGAAGAAACCGGUAAGGAAGAAAAUUUUAAAGUAGAAGUAUGUUUAUCAAAUGAUUUCAUUGGUUUGGAUUUCAUUAUCUAUAGUGUAUAGUCCCGGGAAUAAACUACACAUUCUUUUGUGGGUUUGGUGAGAUGUGAAAAUUAUGAGUGGAGCUCAAGUUUCGGCCGUACGAUGCUCUCUUAAUUUUCUAUACUUUUGUACUUCUUCUAUGUAUCAACAUGCACUUAGAAUUCACGUGUUGCAUGGAGUUAUGCCAGAUGAUGUUUCUCGGUAACUCAAUUUUGCUGACCACUAUUCAGCUUUUGGCUUAAUUGAUAUGGUAUGUACUCUCACAUAGUAAUUUGUGCUUCCCCUGAGCUAUAAACCAUACAAGAGUAUGUUGCCAGCAAUCCAGUUACUUGCGGCUGGAGGUGCAAUGUAUGUGGAAGUUUUCAAUAGAGUGAUUCAAUUGGCUUACAACAUCAUAAAGAGGAAUAAAGUCGGAGAAACUAACACUUACUUGGAUGGAACCUACUAUUGUUUCACUUAACCAAACUUGAAUCCAUUACUCCAGUAGAGACUGCUCUACUUCCCGUAACGACGUUAUCCGAGAAUUAGCAUAGUUUAAUAAGUAUAAAAUUGUUUUUGUUAUAGCUGGAUGAGUUAGAUGCAACGAUUUUUGAAUUGUGACUUUAUCAUUAUGCACAUGUUACAUUUCCUUUCUUCUUCUUUUUUGACUAAUGCAUGUCAUAUUUCUUGAGUCAUGAGAUUCUCUGUUUCUUUGAGGUUUAUUUCUCUGUAAGAUUCAACAAAACU